rfam:Habropoda laboriosa contig5014, whole genome shotgun sequence.
CAAAUGGCCCUUUUCAGGGCCACAAAAUUUUUAAAAACGAAGGAACU